rnacentral:rRNA from 1 species
GACGAACGCUGGCGGCGUGCCUAAUACAUGCAAGUAGAACGCUGAAGUGAGGUGCUUGCUCUUCUUGGAUGAGUUUCGAACGGGUGAGUAACGCGUAGGUAACCUGCCUGGUAGCGGGGGAUAACUAUUGGAAACGAUAGCUAAUACCGCAUAAAAUGGAUUAUCUCAUGAUAAUCCAUUGAAAGGUGCAAUUGCAUCACUACCAGAUGGACCUGCGUUGUAUUAGCUAGUUGGUGGGGUAACGGCUCACCAAGGCGACGAUACAUAGCCGACCUGAGAGGGUGAUCGGCCACACUGGGACUGAGACACGGCCCAGACUCCUACGGGAGGCAGCAGGAGGGAAUAUUCGGCAAUGGACGGAAGUCUGACCGAGCAACGCCGCGUGAGUGAAGAAGGUUUUCGGAUCGUAAAGAUCUGUUGUAAGAGAAGAACGAGGGUGAGAGUGGAAAGUUCACACUGUGACGGUAUCGUACCAGAAAGGGACGGCUAACUACGUG